CAGGCAAAUAUUUUGGUGGUUUCCAUUUUCUGCUGAAAUAUUAAGCAACGACUGACCUGCAUUUCAUUUCUCUUGCAGUCCACUUGUUAAGCUCUGGCCCUUGCUGCCUUGGAUCGAAAGUCACAGGACAAUGUAAGCAUUGUUAUUGCAGAUUUAGGAAGAACGAAUUGGCAGGCAAUGCCUCCUGAUCAAGAUCAAGUGAACAUCUUCAUUGAAUUCGGCCAAGCUUUUGCUACUAUAGGGAUAGUAUCAUUGGGAAUCUGGUUGUCACAUCAGUUUGUUGCAUGAAGUUGCAACCUUUAAGAUAUGGAUGUAGAUAACAUGCAAAGAUCCUCACAUCAUCUUUGUAAAUCAUUAUAUCCAUAGACAUUGUAAAUAUCAUGUGAAAUCAUAUUCCAUUGAGCAAU